CGCGGUAUUUUGACCGUGCAAAGGUAGCAUAAUAAUUAGUUUUUUAAUUGAAAGCUGGAAUGAAUGGUUGGACGAGAAAAUUUCUGUCUCUAUUUAAUUUUUAGUAGAAUUUUAUUUUUAAGUUAAAAAGCUUAAAUGAUGUUAAAAGACGAGAAGACCCUAUAGAGUUUAAUAGUUGGUUAAAUUUAUUUUUUUUAGAAUUUUUAUUUAAAUAUAUUUAUUUAAUUAUUUUGUUGGGGUGAUAAAAAGAUAAGUUUAACUCUUUUUUUAUUUAAACAUUUCUAUAUGAAUAUUUGAUCCAUUAUUAUUGAUUACAAGAAUAAAUUACCUUAGGGAUAACAGCGUAAUCUUUUUGGAGAGUUCUUAUUGAUAGAAGGGAUUGCGACCUCGAUGUUGGAUUAAAAUUAAUUUUUGGUGUAGGAGCUGAAUAAAUUAAGUCUGUUCGACUUUUAAAAUUUUACAUGAUCUGAGUUUAAACCGGUGUGAGCCAGGUUGGUUUCUAUCUUUAUUUUUUUAUAAUACUUUAGUACGAAAGGACCAGGUAUUGGGUAUAUUUACUUUUUUUUGAAUAUUAUUGUUACUUUGGCAGAUUAGUGCGUUGGAUUUAGAAUCUUUUUAUGUAAAUUUUUACAGGUAAUAUUUGUUUAUAUUUGAUGUUUUUUUGGUAGUUUUUAAUAUGUUGUUAUUAGUGAUUUUGGUUUUAGUAGGGGUAGCUUUUUUUACUUUGCUUGAGCGUAAGGUUUUA
rnacentral:rRNA from 1 species